CGGAGUGUAGUGUAACGGUAACAUUCACGAUUCGGGUUCGUGAGACUCAGGGUUCGAAUCCCUGCACUCCGA
rnacentral:tRNA from 2 species